GGAGAAUCCUAAGGUGUGCGAGAGAACUCUUGUUAAGGAACUCGGCAAAAUGACCCCGUAACUUCGGGAGAAGGGGUGCUGACCGCAAGGUCAGCCGCAGUGAAUAGGCCCAAGCGACUGUUUAUCAAAAACACAGGUCUCUGCAAAAUCGAAAGAUGACGUAUAGGGGCUGACGCCUGCCCGGUGCUGGAAGGUUAAGAGGAGAGGUUAGCGCAAGCGAAGCUUUGAAUUGAAGCCCCAGUAAACGGCGGCCGUAACGAUAACGGUCCUAAGGUAGCGAAAUUCCUUGUCGGGUAAGUUCCGACCCGCACGAAAGGCGUAACGAUUUGGGCACUGUCUCAACGAGAGACUCGGUGAAAUUAUAGUACCAGUGAAGAUGCUGGUUACCCGCGACAGGACGGAAAGACCCCAUGGAGCUUUACUGCAGUUUGAUAUUGCGUGUUUGUAUCACAUGUACAGGAUAGGUAGGAGCCGAAGAUACCGGGACGCCAGUCUCGGAGGAGGCAACGGUGGGAUACUACCCUUGUGAUAUGACCACUCUAACCCGCUGCUCUUAGCGAGCAGGGAGACAGUGUCAGACGGGCAGUUUGACUGGGGCGGCCGCCUCCAAAAAUGUAACGGAGGCGCCCAAAGGUUCCCUCAGAAUGGUUGGAAAUCAUUCGUAGAGUGUAAAGGCAGAAGGGAGCUUGACUGCGAGACCUACAAGUCGAGCAGGGACGAAAGUCGGGCUUAGUGAUCCGGUGGUUCCGCAUGGAAGGGCCAUCGCUCAACGGAUAAAAGCUACCCUGGGGAUAACAGGCUUAUCUCCCCCAAGAGUUCACAUCGACGGGGAGGUUUGGCACCUCGAUGUCGGCUCAUCGCAUCCUGGGGCUGUAGCCGGUCCCAAGGGUUGGGCUGUUCGCCCAUUAAAGCGGUACGCGAGCUGGGUUCAGAAUGUCGUGAGACAGUUCGGUCCCUAUCCGUCGCGGGCGUUGGAAAUUUGAGAGGAGCUGUCCUUAGUACGAGAGGACCGGGAUGGACACACCGCUGGUGUACCAGUUGUUCUGCCAAGAGCAUCGCUGGGUAGCUAUGUGUGGACGGGAUAAACGCUGAAAGCAUCUAAGCGUGAAGCCCCCCUCAAGAUGAGAUUUCCCAUCACUUUAAGUGAGUAAGACCCCUGAGAGAUGAUCAGGUAGAUAGGUUGGGAGUGGAAGUACAGCGAUGUAUGGAGCGGACCAAUACUAAUCGGUCGAGGACUUAACCAA
rnacentral:rRNA from 1 species